AUCAAUAAUACUUUUUUUUUUUUUUUUUUUCUUUUUUUUUGUAGGACAUUUAUGAUUUAUCAAAAAAAGAAUAAUCAACCAAAAUCUAAUUGUUUAAUUUAUUCCGAUGAUAUAGAGAAAUUAGUGAAUACAAAUUUUUAUAAUAGGACUGUGGAUAUUCUUUUUUGCAGCAGCUUUAAAGGCAUAGAUAUCCUAAAAUUUAUCCCUAUGGGAAAAAAAACGUUUGAUGUUGAAAUAACCACAGAUAGAUUGUAUUAUGGUGCAGAGAAUGUUAAUUAUACUAUUGUUAUGAAAUUUAAAGAUAUGCUAAAGGAUUUGCCUCCAAGUUAUAUAUAUAAAACGUUAUGAAAUGCAUGUGAUACGUAUAUAUAUAAAAUGUGCUGAACUAUAUGUGCAUAUAUAUAUAUAUAUAUAUGUGUUUGCUUUUAAGGUUAUAUUAUACAAGUAGAAAUACCAACGGAUAUGUGUAUUGAAAAUAGCUGUUUUACUAAAAAUAGAAAAAACCUAUGCUUAAAUGUUGAAGCACAAUUAUUAGAGUCAUGUUCGCUUGAACAUAAUUUAUUAAUCUUCACAAUAGACAAGAAUAAGAGUUCCCGCAUAACUAAUAAUAAUGAGUUGAAAAUAAUACUUAAAAACAUGAUCAAUCCUAUAAGAAUUACAAAAAAACGCGAAGAUUGGAAAUUUAGUAUUUUAACCUUAAACACAGAUUUUAAAAAAGAUGAAACAAAAUUGUUUGAUGAAAUAACAAAAUCCAUAGGUGGUGCCUGUACUAAUGAAUUUUUGACUAAUUUUCAUUCCAAUAUGGAGUUUAUAGAAAUUUACAGAACAAAUAAGGCUUCACCUGAAUUGUAUAAUUUUUCCGUAGAAUUAAAAGUAAUGCUUCAAAAAAAAAAAAAAAAAAAAAAAAAAAAAAUACAAACAAUAAUACAUGCACACAAACGAAUAUAUAUAUAUAUAUAUAUAUGUAUAUAUAUAUAUAUAUAUAUGAACAUGUAUACAUACUCACACACACGUACUUCUCUUAUGUCGUAGAAAAGUAGUAAAUUUAGAAUCGAGAGGGGUGGCCCCCUUGUCCUCGAACUGAAAGCAGAACAAUCAAAAUACGAACUUUUCAAUAAACGUUGCACGGUAUUUUUAUCA
rnacentral:lncRNA from 1 species